rnacentral:tRNA from 1 species
CAAAGUGUAGCUUAAACCAAAGCAUUCGGCUUACACCCGGAAGAUUUCAUAUAAAUUGACCACUUUGA